rnacentral:rRNA from 1 species
AUUGAACGCUGGCGGCAGGCUUAACACAUGCAAGUCGAGCGGUAACAGAGAGAAGCUUGCUUCUCUGCUGACGAGCGGCGGACGGGUGAGUAAUGCCUAGGAAUCUGCCUAGUAGUGGGGGAUAACUUGCCGAAAGGAAAGCUAAUACCGCAUACGUCCUACGGGAGAAAGGAGGGGACCUUCGGGCCUUUCGCUAUUAGAUGAGCCUAGGUCGGAUUAGUUAGUUGGUGAGGUAAUGGCUCACCAAGACCGCGAUCCGUAACUGGUCUGAGAGGAUGAUCAGUCACACGGGAACUGAGACACGGUCCAGACUCCUAAGGGAGGCAGCAGUGGGGAAUAUUGGACAAUGGGGGGAACCCUGAUCCAGCCAUGCCGCGUGUGUGAAGAAGGUCUUGGGAUUGUAAAGCACUUUAAGUUGGGAGGAAGAGCAGUUAACUAAUAUUUGACUGUUUUGACGUUACCGACAGAAUAAGCACCGGCUAACUUCGUGCCAGCCGCCGCCGUAA